UGGGGAAUAUUGGACAAUGGGCGAAAGCCUGAUCCAGCCAUGCCGCGUGUGUGAAGAAGGUCUUCGGAUUGUAAAGCACUUUAAGUUGGGAGGAAGGGCAGUAAGCGAAUACCUUGCUGUUUUGACGUUACCGACAGAAUAAGCACCGGCUAACUCUGUGCCAGCAGCCGCGGUAAUACAGAGGGUGCAAGCGUUAAUCGGAAUUACUGGGCGUAAAGCGCGCGUAGGUGGUUCGUUAAGUUGAAUGUGAAAGCCCCGGGCUCAACCUGGGAACUGCAUCCAAAACUGGCGAGCUAGAGUAGGGCAGAGGGUGGUGGAAUUUCCUGUGUAGCGGUGAAAUGAGUAGAUAUAGGAAGGAACACCAGUGGCGAAGGCGACCACCUGGGCUCAUACUGACACUGAGGUGCGAAAGCGUGGGGAGCAAACAGG
rnacentral:rRNA from 1 species